rnacentral:rRNA from 1 species
AAAACAUGUCUGUAUGAGAGUUAUAUAAAGUUUGACCUGCCCAUUGGGGACUGAAAGGCCGCGGUAUUUUGACCGUGCGAAGGUAGCAUAAUCAUUAGUCUUUUAAUUGAAGGCUGGAAUGAAUGGUUGGACGAGAAGGAAGCUGUCUCUAUCUCGAAGAUUGAAUUUAACUUUUAAGUGAAAAGGCUUAAAUGAGUUAGAGGGACGAUAAGACCCUAUAAAGUUUAUACAUGUAGUUGGUUAAGAGUGAUUUAAGGUGUUAAAGUUUAUUACCAGCAGGGUGUUUAGUUGGGGCGACUAGGAUAUAAAUUAUAUAACUGUUUUCUGUUUAAAUCAGAGAUAUUUGUUCGUAUGAUCCUUUUUUAGGAUUAGAGAGAAAAUUACUUUAGGGAUAACAGCGUAAUUUUUUUAAAGAGUUCUUAUCGACAAAAGAGUUUGCGACCUCGAUGUUGAAUUAAAAAUUUCUCUGUGGUGUAGUAGUUACAGAAGAAGGUCUGUUCGACCUUUAAAUUUUUACAUGAUUUGAGUUCAAACCGGCG